CACGUAGGGUGCGAGCGUUGUCCGGAAUUAUUGGGCGUAAAGAGCUCGUAGGCGGUGUGUCGCGUCGGCCGUGAAAACCUGCAGCUUAACUGUGGGCUUGCGGUCGAUACGGGCAUCACUGGAGUUCGGCAGGGGAGACUGGAAUUCCUGGUGUAGCGGUGAAAUGCGCAGAUAUCAGGAGGAACACCCAUGGCGAAGGCAGCAAACUGGUCCGUAUCUGACGCUGAGGCGCGAAAGCGUGGGUAGCAAACAGG
rnacentral:rRNA from 1 species